rnacentral:rRNA from 1 species
GACGAAGGGGGCAAGCGUUGUUCGGAAUUACUGGGCGUAAAGGGCGCGUAGGCGGUUCUUUUAAGUCAGGCGUGAAAGCCCUGGGCUCAACCUGGGAGUGGCGCUUGAUACUGGAGGACUAGAGAGUGGGAGAGGUUGGUGGAAUUCCCAGUGUAGAGGUGAAAUUCGUAGAUAUUGGGAAGAACACCGGUGGCGAAGGCGGCCAACUGGACCAUUUCUGACGCUGAGGCGCGAAAGCGUGGGGAGCAAACAGG